GACAGAGGCCCCAAGCGUUAGGCGGAAUCACUGGGCUUAAAGCGUGUGUAGGCGGAUCGUUAAGUGUCUUGUGAAAUCCCACGGCUCACCCGUGGAACUGCUGGGCAUACUGGCGAUCUUGGGCCAACUAGGGCAGUCGGAACAAGCGGUGGAGCGGUGAAAUGCGUAGAUAUCGCUUGGAACGCCGAAGGUGAAAACAGACUGCUGGGGUUGCGCCGACGCUGAGACACGAAAGCCAGGGGGAGCAAACGGG
rnacentral:rRNA from 1 species